AGAGUUUGAUCAUGGCUCAGAUUGAACGCUGGCGGCAUGCCUUACACAUGCAAGUCGAACGGCAGCGCGGGAGCAAUCCUGGCGGCGAGUGGCGAACGGGUGAGUAAUAUAUCGGAACGUGCCCUGUAGCGGGGGAUAACCUAUCGAAAGAUGGACUAAUACCGCAUACGCUCUACGGAGGAAAGCGGGGGUCGCAAGACCUCGCACUAUAGGAGCGGCCGAUAUCGGAUUAGCUAGUUGGCGGGGUAAAAGCCCACCAAGGCGACGAUCCGUAGCUGGUCUGAGAGGAUGAUCAGCCACACUGGAACUGAGACACGGUCCAGACUCCUACGGGAGGCAGCAGUGGGGAAUUUUGGACAAUGGGCGCAAGCCUGAUCCAGCCAUGCCGCGUGAGUGAAGAAGGCCUUCGGGUUGUAAAGCUCUUUCGGCAGGAACGAAAUGGUUCGUGCUAAUACCACGGACUGAUGACGGUACCUGAAGAAGAAGCACCGGCUAACUACGUGCCAGCAGCCGCGGUAAUACGUAGGGUGCAGGCGUUAAUCGGAAUUACUGGGCGUAAAGCGUGCGCAGGCGGUUUCUUAAGUCAGAUGUGAAAGCCCCGGGCUUAACCUGGGAACUGCGUUUGAAACUGGGGAGACUUGAGUGUGGCAGAGGGGGGUGGAAUUCCACGUAGCAGUGAAAUGCGUAGAUAUGUGGAGGAACACCGAUGGCGAAGGCAGCCCCCUGGGUUAACACUGACGCUCAUGCACGAAAGCGUGGGGAGCAAACAGGAUUAGAUACCCUAGUAGUCC
rnacentral:rRNA from 1 species